GUGCCAGCAGCCGCGGUAAUACGAAGGGUGCAAGCGUUACUCGGAAUUACUGGGCGUAAAGCGUGUGCAGGUGGUUUUUUAAGUCUGCUGUGAAAGCCCCGGGCUCAACCUGGGAAUGGCAGUGGAUACUGGAAAGCUAGAGUGCGGUAGAGGGUAGUGGAAUUCCCGGUGUAGCGGUGAAAUGCGUAGAGAUCGGGAGGAACACCAGUGGCGAAGGCGGCUACCUGGACCAGCACUGACACUCAGACACGAAAGCGUGGGGAGCAAACAGGAUUAGAUACCCUGGUAGUCC
rnacentral:rRNA from 1 species